rnacentral:rRNA from 1 species
AUUGAACGCUGGCGGCAGGCCUAACACAUGCCAGUAGAACGAGUGGCGGAAGGGUGGGUAAUGUCUGGGAAACUGCCCGAUGGAGGGGGAUAACUACUGGAAACGGUAGCUAAUACCGCAUACCAUCGGAUGUGCCCAGAUGGGAUUAGCUAGUAGGUGGGGUAACUGUUCACCUAGGCGACGAUCCCUCGUUGGUCUGAGAGGAUGACCAGCCACACUGGAAAUGAGACUCGGUCCAGAUUCCUACGGGAGGCAGCAGUGGGGAAUAUUGCACAAUGGGCGCAAGCCUGAUGCAGCCAUGCCGCGUGUAUGAAGAAGGCCUUCGGGUUGUAAAGUACUUUCAGCGGGGAGGCGUUACCCGCAGAAGAAGCACCGGCUAACUCCGUGCCAGCAGCCGCGGUAAUUC